GCCAAAGAUCAAGAAGAUUGUAGUUCUUAACUGUCCUUCAUUAAAGAAAAUCUCAGGGAGACUUCAAUGCAGAUUGCUGGAGAAGACAUCUGAUGCAAAAAGGAGGAGAAAAUAAUGGAUGUUGGUAUUGUUGUUUUGAUAGAUUGAGACUCCAUGCCAUUGUUCUUUUAUUUGUUAAGACAUCCUCAAUAUCCACAGACUUGCUUCAACAUGUUUUCCCUGCUAGCCUCACUGUAUUUCAUAGGCACACACAAUCAUGAUACUCCUUUUCUUCCUUCCCAUACUCCUUUUUCACCUAACAUCUGUAUACUUUCAAAACAAUAAUGGAGAUUUGGUUGCCAAUGGAAUGUGCUGUCAUUGUUCUAAUAAUCUAUAGUAGUAAAAUUCAAUUUCUCAAUCUUAAUGCAAUUCAUGUCAAGAAGAUUGCUACUCACAGCCUCGCACAUUACGUGGAUUGAAAGUUCUUGAUUCUACAACUCUUACACUAAACUUAAUCCAUGAAAUGAGUUAUGUGAUAAAAGACAAGGAUUUUCUCGAGUUAGGGAUGGCAAUGGGGCGAGGCGGAGCGGGACGGGUUAAAACAAUUUUUAAAAUUUUUAAAGCGGGGCGGGACGGGUUGCGGGUUCAAUGCGGGGAAACUUUGAAUUUUAUCUUUUUUGAAACAAAGCAAUCAUUUCAACUACAAUUUCACAUUCUUCUGCACUAGCACAAAUACUAUUUUGAUUUAUAAUUAACCAAUUUGCAUAAGUCUCACCAAAAUGAUAUUACAUAAAUCAAGAUAUCGUAUUAGUAAUAGGAAAUGAUAGUAACCCAUUUAUUUUGGAAGAUCGGCAUAAUACUCUCUCAAUUUUAUGUUUAUGUGAUUCUAUUAAACUCUCCAUUUUAUAAAAUAAUAAAAUGUCAAACUAGUUUGUUUUAGAAAAAAAAAUUAAAGAAGAAAGAAAAGAAAUAAGUGGGGCAGGGCAGGGCGGGUUGAAAACUUUGUGGGUUUUGCCAAACCCGCCCCACCCCACCCCAUUGUCAUCCCUAAAUAGAGCUCUUGCCUAAAAACUAACUAUGUCAUUACUAUCACAGUGAAGUUAGCAACUUUCAUCCAACCUUUACGAAAUGUUCAUUCAAAAACUAAUGGUGCAAAUGAAAACCAAAUGGAAGCCACGCAAUUAUGACUACAAUUAUGACUAAAAUUACUUCCAAACUAAAAAAUGUUUGAAUUUGGAAGAACUGAAUUAGCAUGUUUCAGUUUUUAGUCACCAAAAUAACUCAAAUCAAUCUUCUAAUAUUACAAAUAAACUAAAAUUUUCUGAUAACUCAAAACACAAUAGAAUUACCUGAAUCAGAAGAUUUUGGACUGUUUUGUGAAGGAAUUGGAGGUUGGAUAUAGGUUAUCUUUGCUAAUACUCACUCAAAAUUACUUCAUUCGCCGUCGAAAAUGGAGGAAUACAUCGGAGGGGCGGCGAAGUUUUCUGAUAGUGGAGGGGAAAGUGUGUUUUAGUUCAAACAAAACGGACCUAAUGCGAUUAUAAACGCAGUGCAAAUGCGAC
rnacentral:lncRNA from 1 species